UACGGAGGGUGCGAGCGUUAAUCGGAAUCACUGGGCGUAAAGCGCACGCAGGCGGCGCGUUAAGUCAGAUGUGAAAGCCCCGGGCUCAACCUGGGAACUGCAUUUGAUACUGGCGUGCUCGAGUCUGAUAGAGGGGGGUGGAAUUCCCGGUGUAGCGGUGAAAUGCGUAGAGAUCGGGAGGAACACCAGUGGCGAAGGCGGCCCCCUGGAUCAAGACUGACGCUGAGGUGCGAAAGAGUGGGGAGCAAACAGG
rnacentral:rRNA from 1 species